rnacentral:lncRNA from 1 species
CUCGGGCGUGACCUUUGAGCAGCUGCGCCACCGGCUCAGCCUCGCGGCGGGGGAAACCCGAGCUCCCAACAAAACGGUUCCAUCUUUGGCUAGGCCUUUGGCACCAAAGAAGGCCCAGAGAGGUUUAACAACUUCCUCAGAAUCACACAGCUUCCAAAUGGUUGGGUUGGGUUUACAUUUAGGCGGUCUUGCUCCAGAGCCAGUGCUCCUAACCUUUGCAAGCCACGAACCUCAAGAAAGUGGAGAAGGAAACGCUGGGAAAUCUGGAAGUCAGACAUGAGAGCUAAUGCUGGCAGCUGUUGGGAUGUCCUCUUCCAGGAAUGGUGAUGAGUUUCCCUGGAUCCAGCCCUGGCUUGGCUGAGGUUUUUCUCACUGUAAGAAGAGGACAAUAGCCUAUGAUCUACAGUGCCCAUUCCAACUCAGAGAAUCUUUACAUCUGGAGAUCUAUAGCAGGGCUAUCCCUAGUGACAUGCGUGAAGAAGCUUGGAAAUGGUGCUGGGUAGGAGCUGAGUGUGCAGAAUGUGGAAAGGCAUUCUAAACCAAAGGAAGAACACGAGUAAAGAUGAUGAAGCAGGGAUAAGGCUAAAAUGAAAUUUGUGAUCUGAUCCACAUACAAGCACAGUGUAGUACAGCUGGAAUAUAGAGAAGAGCUUGAAGACUUAUGAGCAACUAUCCCGGUACUCUUGGAGGCUCUGCAACCACAGUUUGAGAAACUCCGCGUUCAAAGUUAAAAACUGUCACCUGAAUAGUUAAUAACAUCAAAGAUUGUGAAAGCAAGUAUAAAUAACACAGAGAUUAAAAUAAUGAGGCAGGAUCAGAAACACUGACCUGCUGUGUAAGAAGUCCAACUGCCCUGAGGCCACCAGGCUGGAGAGACCAUGUAUGGAUAGGUUCUCUGAUCAACAGUUUCUAUCAAGCCCAGCCUUCUAGCCAUCAAGCCCAGCCUUCUAGCCAUGUCCACCAAUGUGCCUGACAUGUGAGUGAAGCCAUCACAGACCCUUCAGACCAGCCCACCUGCCAGCUGAA